GAUGAACGCUGGCGGCGUGCCUAACACAUGCAAGUCGAACGGAGAUUUAACGCUGAUGAAGCUUCGGCAGAAUCUUGUUAAAUCUUAGUGGCGGACGGGUGAGUAACGCGUGGGUAACCUGCCUCACACUGGGGGAUAGCAGUUGGAAACGGCUGAUAAUACCGCAUAAGCGCACAAUACCGCAUGGUAUGGUGUGAAAAACUCCGGUGGUGUGAGAUGGACCCGCGUCUGAUUAGCCAGUUGGCGGGGUAACGGCCCACCAAAGCGACGAUCAGUAGCCGGCCUGAGAGGGUGUACGGCCACAUUGGGACUGAGACACGGCCCAAACUCC
rnacentral:rRNA from 1 species